rnacentral:rRNA from 1 species
GAUGCCCUGGCAGUCAGAGGCGAUGAAGGACGUGCUAAUCUGCGAUAAGCGCCGGUAAGGUGAUAUGAACCGUUAUAACCGGCGAUUUCCGAAUGGGGAAACCCAGUGUGAUUCGUCACACUAUCAUUAACUGAAUCCAUAGGUUAAUGAGGCGAACCGGGGGAACUGAAACAUCUAAGUACCCCGAGGAAAAGAAAUCAACCGAGAUUCCCCCAGUAGCGGCGAGCGAACGGGGAGGAGCCCAGAGCCUGAAUCAGCAUGUGUGUUAGUGGAAGCGUCUGGAAAGGCGCGCGAUACAGGGUGACAGCCCCGUACACAAAAGCGCAUGUGCUGUGAGCUCGAUGAGUAGGGCGGGACACGUGGUAUCCUGUCUGAAUAUGGGGGGACCAUCCUCCAAGGCUAAAUACUCCUGACUGACCGAUAGUGAACCAGUACCGUGAGGGAAAGGCGAAAAGAACCCCGGCGAGGGGAGUGAAAAAGAACCUGAAACCGUGUACGUACAAGCAGUGGGAGCACCCUUCGGGGUGUGACUGCGUACCUUUUGUAUAAUGGGUCAGCGACUUAUAUUCUGUAGCAAGGUUAACCGUAUAGGGGAGCCGGAGGGAAACCGAGUCUUAAUUGGGCGUUAAGUUGCAGGGUAUAGACCCGAAACCCGGUGAUCUAGCCAUGGGCAGGUUGAAGGUUGGGUAACACUAACUGGAGGACCGAACCGACUAAUGUUGAAAAAUUAGCGGAUGACCUGUGGCUGGGGGUGAAAGGCCAAUCAAACCGGGAGAUAGCUGGUUCUCCCCGAAAGCUAUUUAGGUAGCGCCUCGUGAAUUCAUCUCCGGGGGUAGAGCACUGUUUCGGCUAGGGGGCCAUCCCGGCUUACCAACCCGAUGCAAACUGCGAAUACCGGAGAAUGUUAUCACGGGAGACACACGGCGGGUGCUAACGUCCGUCGUGAAGAGGGAAACAACCCAGACCGCCAGCUAAGGUCCCAAAGUCAUGGUUAAGUGGGAAACGAUGUGGGAAGGCCCAGACAGCCAGGAUGUUGGCUUAGAAGCAGCCAUCAUUUAAAGAAAGCGUAAUAGCUCACUGGUCGAGUCGGCCUGCGCGGAAGAUGUAACGGGGCUAAACCAUGCACCGAAGCUGCGGCAGCGAACGUAUCACCCAAGACAACUUUACGGAGUUGACGAUUGACGGAGCGAAGCGACGUCAAAGCGUUCAUUAAAGUCGAGUUGGCUUAGGGAUACGUUCGUUGGGUAGGGGAGCGUUCUGUAAGCCUGUGAAGGUGUGUCGUGAGGCAUGCUGGAGGUAUCAGAAGUGCGAAUGCUGACAUAAGUAACGAUAAAGCGGGUGAAAAGCCCGCUCGCCGGAAGACCAAGGGUUCCUGUCCAACGUUAAUCGGGGCAGGGUGAGUCGACCCCUAAGGCGAGGCCGAAAGGCGUAGUCGAUGGGAAACGGGUUAAUAUUCCCGUACUUGGUGUUACUGCGAAGGGGGGACGGAGAAGGCUAUGUUGGCCGGGCGACGGUUGUCCCGGUUUAAGCGUGUAGGUGUGUGUUCCAGGUAAAUCCGGUUCACUUUAACACUGAGGCGUGACGACGAGGCACUACGGUGCUGAAGCAACAAAUGCCCUGCUUCCAGGAAAAGCCUCUAAGCAUCAGGUAACACGAAAUCGUACCCCAAACCGACACAGGUGGUCAGGUAGAGAAUACCAAGGCGCUUGAGAGAACUCGGGUGAAGGAACUAGGCAAAAUGGUGCCGUAACUUCGGGAGAAGGCACGCUGACACGUAGGUGAAGUGAUUUACUCAUGGAGCUGAAGUCAGUCGAAGAUACCAGCUGGCUGCAACUGUUUAUUAAAAACACAGCACUGUGCAAACACGAAAGUGGACGUAUACGGUGUGACGCCUGCCCGGUGCCGGAAGGUUAAUUGAUGGGGUCAGCGUAAGCGAAGCUCCUGAUCGAAGCCCCGGUAAACGGCGGCCGUAACUAUAACGGUCCUAAGGUAGCGAAAUUCCUUGUCGGGUAAGUUCCGACCUGCACGAAUGGCGUAAUGAUGGCCAGGCUGUCUCCACCCGAGACUCAGUGAAAUUGAACUCGCUGUGAAGAUGCAGUGUACCCGCGGCAAGACGGAAAGACCCCGUGAACCUUUACUAUAGCUUGACACUGAACAUUGAGCCUUGAUGUGUAGGAUAGGUGGGAGGCUUUGAAGUGUGGACGCCAGUCUGCAUGGAGCCGACCUUGAAAUACCACCCUUUAAUGUUUGAUGUUCUAACGUGGACCCGUAAUCCGGGUUGCGGACAGUGUCUGGUGGGUAGUUUGACUGGGGCGGUCUCCUCCUAAAGAGUAACGGAGGAGCACGAAGGUUGGCUAAUCCUGGUCGGACAUCAGGAGGUUAGUGCAAUGGCAUAAGCCAGCUUGACUGCGAGCGUGACGGCGCGAGCAGGUGCGAAAGCAGGUCAUAGUGAUCCGGUGGUUCUGAAUGGAAGGGCCAUCGCUCAACGGAUAAAAGGUACUCCGGGGAUAACAGGCUGAUACCGCCCAAGAGUUCAUAUCGACGGCGGUGUUUGGCACCUCGAUGUCGGCUCAUCACAUCCUGGGGCUGAAGUAGGUCCCAAGGGUAUGGCUGUUCGCCAUUUAAAGUGGUACGCGAGCUGGGUUUAGAACGUCGUGAGACAGUUCGGUCCCUAUCUGCCGUGGGCGCUGGAGAACUGAGGGGGGCUGCUCCUAGUACGAGAGGACCGGAGUGGACGCAUCACUGGUGUUCGGGUUGUCAUGCCAAUGGCACUGCCCGGUAGCUAAAUGCGGAAGAGAUAAGUGCUGAAAGCAUCUAAGCACGAAACUUGCCCCGAGAUGAGUUCUCCCUGAGACUUAGAGUCUCCUGAAGGAACGUUGAAGACGACGACGUUGAUAGGCCGGGUGUGUAAGCGCAGCGAUGCGUUGAGCUAACCGGUACUAAUGAACCGUGAGGCUUAACCUUACAACGCCGAAG